rnacentral:sRNA from 1 species
AGGUCAAGGCGAGUAGCAUGUGUGGGAGACUCACGUUGCGGGCGAAGUGGGAGAGAUAAAAGUGGGCCAACAGGCAGUGGAAAGACGACAUUCAUCAGUGAGUAUGCCCUGGAUUUGUGUUCCCAGGGGGUGAACACACUGUGGGGUAGCUUCGAGAUCAGCAAUGUGAGACUAGCCCGGGUCAUGCUGACACAGUUUGCCGAGGGGCGGCUGGAAGAUCAACUGGACAAAUAUGAUCACUGGGCUGACCGCUUUGAGGACCUGCCCCUCUAUUUCAUGACUUUCCAUGGACAGCAAAGCAUCAGGACUGUAAUAGAUACAAUGCAACAUGCAGUCUACGUCUAUGACAUUUGUCAUGUGAUCAUCGACAACCUGCAGUUCAUGAUGGGUCACGAGCAGCUGUCCACAGACAGGAUUGCAGCUCAAGACUACAUCAUCGGGGUCUUUCGGAAGUUUGCAACAGACAAUAACUGCCAUGUGACACUGGUCAUUCACCCCCGGAAAGAGGAUGAUGACAAGGAACUGCAGACAGCGUCCAUUUUUGGCUCAGCCAAAGCAAGCCAGGAAGCAGACAAUGUUCUGAUCCUGCAGGACAGGAAGCUGGUAACCGGGCCAGGGAAACGGUAUCUGCAGGUGUCCAAGAACCGCUUUGAUGGAGAUGUAGGUGUCUUCCCGCUUGAGUUCAACAAGAACUCCCUCACCUUCUCCAUUCCACCAAAGAACAAGGCCCGGCUCAAGAAGAUCAAGGAUGACACUGGACCAGUGGCCAAAAAGCCCUCUUCUGGCAAAAAGGGGGCUACGACACAGAACUCUGAGAUUUGCUCAGGCCAGGCCCCCACUCCUGACCAGCCAGACACCUCCAAGCGUUCAAAGUGAAGGCCGUGCAGAGCUGGUCACUGAAAUGAGCCUGAUAGGACAGGCUGGAGCAUAAAACUCUGCGAGGGCU